rnacentral:rRNA from 1 species
GACAGAGGGUGCAAACGUUGUUCGGAAUUACUGGGCGUAAAGCGUGUGUAGGCUGCUCCAUAAGUCGGAUGUAAAAGUCCAGGGCUCAACCCUGGAACGCCGGUGGAUACUGUCGGGCUAGAGUCCGGAAGAGGCGAGUGGAAUUCCUGGUGUAGCGGUGAAAUGCGCAGAUAUCAGGAGGAACACCGGUGGCGAAGGCGGGUCUCUGGGCCGAUACUGACGCUGAGGAGCGAAAGCGUGGGGAGCGAACAGG